UGCUGGAAAGGGAAGAGGUGGAAGUUUGAGGAGAAGGUACUUUCGAACAGUAGGGGGUCCUGGGUCCCUAUCUUUAUUAGGUGAGGUCAUCCCAGGGUCAUGCUUACUAAGAGUGUCUGGGGGGUCAUAGGUCAGGCUUUGCUAGGUGAGGUCAUCCCAGGGUCAUGCUUACUAAGAGUGUAUGGGGGGUUGUAGGUCAGGCUUUGUUAGG